AAAUGAUCCUCCCGCCUCAGCCUCCCAAGCAGCUGGAAAUACAGAGGGGGAAACUGAGGCCUGGAGCAGAUGGACAGGCAGAAGGGCAGAGGCCAAGGGCAGCACACCUCCUUCCAACCACACCUGAAUGGGUGCUGCUGCACAGUCAUCCCCUUGCACAGACAGGGAGGCAUGGAGUGACUGCCCAAGGUCAAACGCUUCUAUUAUUUCCAUGUUUCUGUGACACCAAGUUCAGUGAGCCACUACACAUCAGCCCAAAGAACACUGCCUGAGUCUCUUGUGUUCCCGGAGAAUGUGUAAGCUGCUUUGGGGACAGCACCCCCCGCUUUUCAGGCAUGGACCCUGGUUGUCACUGUUUUAGUGAAACAGAAGGGCUUCAAGCUAUUAGAAUGCCAGAAAACAGAGCAAAGCCACCAUAGCUGGUGUGGGAGAGGCUCCCCGGAGCCCUGGCAACCCUGAGGUGGUUGAGAAGACUCUGCAGGGCUCAUGGGCUGGUGGCCCAUGGUCUGGAAGGCACCGUGCCAAAUGCCAGCCCACACGGUGCUUUGUGAGAUAUUUUCCUUAGCUGCCAAUAUGUAAAGAUUGGGAGGUCAUGCAAAAAAA
rnacentral:lncRNA from 1 species